rnacentral:misc_RNA from 1 species
UAGAAAGAAAUCAAGAAUCUAACUUGCAUUUUGUAUUGAAGAUUUGAACAUGUAAAGUAUACACAUUCAUCUUUACAAAUAAGGUUAUGGUGAUCUUCUUUCACAUGUGUUCAAUGCUCAAGCUGACAUAUUAACAUAAAAGGUCAACAUAUUGAGGUGAAUAUCAGACUCUCAACAAUGUAUACCAUCUAGACCUUCCAUUUUACACUGCUAAUCAGAUUUUGGAAGGGAAAAAAAUUGUAACAUUAACCCAAAAAAUAAAAAGAUAUUGUCCACUAUUCUGUAUCUCUGACUAUGCUAUCGUUGUCUUGUAUUACAACUACGAAGAGUCACACCAUGUAAAAAUUUGAUAUAUCCAAGGAAGCUCAAUUUUCCAUCAGAACUUCUAAUCCAAUCAUUGACUAAAGAAUGGGCUGUAGGACCCAAAUUCAUUUCCAGAGCCAAUUCCUGCACUGAAAUGACCCGGUUUCCUUCUUCUUCGAAAUAAUCAAACGCCGUCCUCGCAAUGUCUUCCCAAUUUUCAAGGACCUCAAGUUGAUAUGUAUUUAUUGCAGCAGCACAGAACUCCUCAAACCCCAUUUUUUCAUAGGAGAGCGGUUCCAUCACAUUGAAAAUGUCAAUAACCCUUGACUCCUUCAUGGCAUCAGUAAAAUGUCUCGUUAACACCGCUUUAAAACUAUUAAGAGAAAGAAAUCCAUCUUUUGGUUCCAAAAGACUAAAUUGAGCCUUGAGAUAGAAAAACUCAUCUUCUGGAAUAGCUUUUGAAAGAGCCUGCAACCAUAAUAAAAAUAUCAAAGAAUAAUAUUACAGAGGAUUAUCCUCAGUCCUACAUAAUUAUUAUUGUUUGGAAAGCUAACUAGUCUCAAUCACCAUAUCCAUCAUUUUGCUCAAUGAAUGGAUGCCCAAAAAAGGUACGCCAACCCAUAUCUAUUAAUUAAUGCUUUGCACAUAUCAGCCAAAUGAAUUUCAUUUCUUUUCCCUUUCUAUUUUGGAAGGGUGGGAAAAGACACCUAUUUUUACAAGUAUAUUUGUGUAUACCUUCAGUGCUGCACGCUUAAAUGGUGUGGCACGAACAUAUGACUUAACCGACUUGUAGAUCAAAAUAUCCAAAGGCACAGGUCGAUUUUCAUCUCGCAACCAUGGGUGAGUCAAAGCUUGGGCAGCAGUCAUUCUCUUCCUGUGGUCCUUGCUCAGAAGUCUUUUCACAAAAGCUUUAGCUUCUGCCGAUACCACAGGCCAAGGUGAGUCAUCAAAAUUAGGAUCAGCUCUUAACACAGAACGAAAAAUUCCUGAUUCAGUCUGAGCCCAAAAAGGUCUACUUCCACAUAACAAUAUAUAUGUUAUGACACCAAUACUCCACACAUCAGCUUCAACACUGUAUGAUCUAUGGAGCACUUCUGGUGCAACAUAAUAUGCACUGCCAACAAUAUCAUUGAGACAUUGAUCUGGCCUAAUAAAAUCUGAUAACCCAAAAUCAAUAAUCUUCAUGGGAGCAUCCUCAUCUCUUGUGGUAAAAAGGAAAUUCUCAGGCUUAAGAUCCCGGUGCACAACACCUUGAAGAUGACAAAAGGCAACUACACUUAGGAUUUGCACAACAAUAGAUUUAGCAUCUUCCUCUGUGUAUCUUCCACCUCUUGAUAAAAUUCUGUCUAGUAGUUCUCCACCUUCACACAAUUCCAUGACCAUGUAGACAUUAUUGGCAUCCUCAAAAGCAUCAUGAAAUUUGAUCAUAUGCUUAUGCCCCGAUAGAGCUUUCAUUAUUUUUAUCUCCCGACGAACAUCUUCAAUGGAUAUUGCUGUAGUCAUCUUAGCUUUGGAAAUGAUCUUGACAGCGACGGGCUGUCCCUUGAGCUCUCCUCUCUUUCCUUUCGCCCAGCAAGUAUGACCAAAAUGCCCUCUCCCUACCUCCUUCCCCAGCUCGUACUUAGCUCCGAAAUUCUUGCUGUAGCCGAAGCUCUUGUCCAGCGACUGCUGCUGCUCCGGCUCCAUGCCACCGUGUUCAGGAAUUGGCCCCUCCUUGGGCUUCGCACCACCGAGACGCUUAGCCAGCGAAGCAGCUAUGUGCUUGGCAGGCGAAGGAGGCGGGAAAGGCCGCCGGAAGAACCUCCUCGGCGUGGAUGCCCUAGCCGGAGACGGCGAGACGCCUCCUGGUAGUGGACUGGCAGAAACUCCAUGCGGAUAGGGGCUGGGCCAGGGGCUGGGGUUGGAGGACCUGGCCGGCGUGUUCUUCACUGACGGGACGGAGACGGCUCCGUUACGCGGAGUUGAUGGUCGUAAGGGCGUUUGGUUGGGAUUGCCGGUGGCCACUAUGGUGGUUGUUGCGUCAUUCUCGUUCGUUGGAUUAGUCUUACCGUAACACUGCCCCAUCUUGCAAUACUGCUCCCCUGCUGUAUCUGAUCAGCACUCAAAGUCUAGACAUCGGACGGUGCAAAAGAUUUUCUCAUGGAUCUGACAACCAUCGGAGAGAAAACAAACGAGAGAGAGAGAACAGAGAGAUCUAAGUGAAGAAAACGAUAAAAGAAGAGAAUGAAGGAGGAUAUUAAGUCAGAGGAAAAGAGAGAGAAAGAGACAGAGAGAUAGGAGGAGAGAGACAAUGGCUGUUAAGGAACGAAGACGAGAGACUGACACACAGAUAGAGGUAAACCGUAGCAAGCUGAAGAAAUCUUUU